rnacentral:rRNA from 1 species
AACCUGCCCUUUGCACUGGGAUAGCCUCGGGAAACCGAGGUUAAUACCGGAUACUCCAUAUUUGUCGCAUGGCGAAUAUGGGGAAAAGGCUCCGGCGGCAAAGGAUGGGCCCGCGGCCUGUUAGCUAGUUGGUGGGGUAGUGGCCUACCAAGGCAAUGAUGGGUAGCCGGGUUGAGAGACCGACCGGCCAGAUUGGGACUGAGACACGGCCCAGACUCCUACGGGAGGCAGCAGUA